CCUACGGGUGGCUGCAGUGAGGAAUAUUGGUCAAUGGGCGCGAGCCUGAACCAGCCAAGUCGCGUGAGGGAUGACGGUCCUACGGAUUGUAAACCUCUUUUGCCGGGGAGCAAGCGUGCGUUCGUGAACGCACGUCGAGAGUACCCGGAGAAAAAGCAUCGGCUAACUCCGUGCCAGCAGCCGCGGUAAUACGGAGGAUGCGAGCGUUAUCCGGAUUUAUUGGGUUUAAAGGGUGCGUAGGCGGGAGGCACAGUCAGCGGUAAAAAUGCGGGGCUCAACGCCGUCGAGCCGGUGAAACUGGCGUUGUUGAGUGGGCGAGAAGUAGGCGGAAUGCGUGGUGAAGCGGAGAAAUGCAGAG
rnacentral:rRNA from 1 species